AUGGUCCCCACCAUACCGUAUGAAUUGCACCCUGGGAUCCUGGAGCACAUCCCGCCAAGUCCGCAGACAAUCGCCCACGCCUCCGUCGUUUGCAAAGCAUGGCGCCGCAUAGUGUAUGCUCCUGGUUUCCUCCACCGGUGCCAUGCACGCCAUGUUGUACCAGUGGUCAUGGGAUUCUUCCACAACUCCAAUACACUUCCCCGCCCGUUCGUACAGAUCAACGACACCACUAGCUUAUCCUUUCGUUUUCCUAAUGAUGGCAAUUACUCAUGGACGUUUAUGGAUUGCCGUCACGGCCGUGUCCUCCUCCGUAACGGCCGUUGGUUCCUCGUGUGGCACCCAAUGACUGGCCACUACCGCCUAAUCAAUGCCGAAUCUAGUCGCUGGGAGGAGUACACCGAGAAGAAUAGCAAUGCUGCGUUGCUCUGUGUGGUUGAUGACAACGAUGGCCACCAAGUUUGCUGCCAACAACCCACAAGUCCAUUUCGUGUGGCCCUUGUCCACAAUGAUUCUCAGGGUCGUGUUCAUGCCGACGUCUACUCCUCACUUACUGGCCAGUGGAGCCUGCCGCCCACGCCGGUGGAUCUCCCGUUGUUGUGUGACAUCCGUGUGGAGCCAUGUGUCAUCAUCUUUAACACUAUGUACCAACCUCUCAAUGACUACCAUGUGUUGGCCUACGACAUGGACAAGAGCACUCUCACUGUGUUCGAGCGGCCGAAUGGAGGAAAUGCCCGUCUAAUGAAGGUUGAUGGUGGUGGACGACUCGGCCUUGCCUCCGUGGAGGACCUCACAUUGCGUAUGUGGGCUCGGGGAGCCUACAAUGGUUGGGUACUACGCACCUCGGUUGAUCUGGGGGAGGCCAUUGCAUGCUUGUCAAAGGUCACAUUACCUAAGGUAGACUCUAGCUUCCUGAUGAUGCCGCGGGUGAAGAUCAUCGGGAGCACCGAGGAGGGAGACGCGCUAUUUUUGUGGACCAUGGUCGGUAUAUUCAUUCUAUGUCCUAAAACCAUGGAGUUCAAGAAGGUGCAUGAGGCCGUUAAGGACAUGGAGAUUGUGUACCCAUAUACUGCCUUCCCCACUGCUGCCAGCUGGUAA
rnacentral:rRNA from 1 species